UAGGGAAUCUUCGGCAAUGGACGAAAGUCUGACCGAGCAACGCCGCGUGAGUGAAGAAGGUUUUCGGAUCGUAAAACUCUGUUGUUAGAGAAGAACAAGGACGUUAGUAACUGAACGUCCCCUGACGGUAUCUAACCAGAAAGCCACGGCUAACUACGUGCCAGCAGCCGCGGUAAUACGUAGGUGGCAAGCGUUGUCCGGAUUUAUUGGGCGUAAAGCGAGCGCAGGCGGUUUCUUAAGUCUGAUGUGAAAGCCCCCGGCUCAACCGGGGAGGGUCAUUGGAAACUGGGAGACUUGAGUGCAGAAGAGGAGAGUGGAAUUCCAUGUGUAGCGGUGAAAUGCGUAGAUAUAUGGUGGAACACCAGUGGCGAAGGCGGCUCUCUGGUCUGUAACUGACGCUGAUGCUCGAAAGCGUGGGGAGCAAACAGG
rnacentral:rRNA from 1 species